UGAAAAUUGAGACUUAGACCUAGAACGGAAAGAAAUCGAUUUAUGGACGAGUAUGUCCUUUUCACAUUUGUGGUAUCGAGGUAAGUUCGUAUGUAAACAAUACCAUGCUAUACAUGUAUUUAAAUGUUAUCAUUACAUGAAUUGUACAGAUAUUAAUGUGUAUGUAAUUAAUAGAAAUAUGAUAAGACAAAGCCUUAAUAGACGAGGAAAAAUCCCGUUUGAACCUUAGGAAUAGAAUAGGAUACGAGUGACAUGUCACUAGGAAUUAUGAGUCUAGAUGACUAGCUCGAGAGUGAGCAUUGAAUUGUCAUGAGAUAUGAGGUAGCUUUAGCUACAAUUGAAGCACUUAUGUGCAAAGGCUUUUCCGAGUAUCUAAUUAGUAUUCCAAGUGUUCAACAGGCAAUCCAAGGAAAGAGUUAAUGAUGGUCUCAAUGAGGUAAGUCAUUGAGUUCCAGGUUAGCUCGGGUUGGAGGCCGUCGGAGAUAUUAUCACCCUAUCGAGUUAACGUUAUCGAGUAAGUAAACUCAAGUGAUUCGAGUCUAUGGCAUGUAUAGGGUUUUAAUGUGAGUAUGUAAUAUUAUGAUUUAGCCAAAGGCAUUGGCUUGUUAUUAAGGUAGUAUUAGUCAUGUAAAUUGGCCUAUGUCGGCUAAUGACGUUAUGGGCCCAUAUGAUUAUUCUUAUGCAUUUAUGUUAUUAUUUCUUGUGAUGUGGCUUACAACAUGCAUGCCUAGAGAUUGAAUUGAGAUUCAUUGAUGAGCUAGUAACUAAUGCAGGAUUAA